GUUUUAAUAGAUGUUAACCUACGAGAAACUGUAGGUUUCACAUCUACUUAUUGAUGACAGUUACAUUUAAAAUAAAUUGUGCAUAUUGUCAUAUAAAAUGAUGGGAAAUGAUUUUGUAGCAUCAAUACUUGGAUAUUUUGGAAUGUGGUAAAUGAAAUACUGGUGGCAGUCUCUAGCACUGGGGAGGUGCCUAAUAAAUACCAGCUGACCCUGAACACGAAUAAUUUCCAUAAACAGGACACUCUACAGAUAUUAGGCCAGGUGGAGACUUUAAAAAUUAACGUUCUAUAUUAAAGUGAAAAAGCUUAACUCUUUUGACAGUCCACCCUUGGAUUACAUUUUAAAUGUUUUGGGUAUUUCUUAUCUUAGAGAUGUCUUCUUUUUUUCACUGUUUUUCCAGUGCAUUUCAAAGUAUACAUUCAAUUCCACAGGAUGCAACCUUCAUGAUUUACUUUGCUUAAUAAAUUAUCUGGUGACAUCUUCCUUAGUUAACCACUGCAGAUAUUUCCUUACGUAUAUACUCCUAUUACUCUCCUUUCAUGUCUACACAAGAGGUAACAUGCUGUAUGCCUCGGUGAGUUCCUUUAUGUUUUACC
rnacentral:lncRNA from 1 species